AGUGUAUUAUGAUGAUAAUCAGGAAUAUAUCUCAGGAGACCUUCUGACACAGUAUCUGUGUAUGAGAAAGAUUUGUUAUCCUGAUUCU